AUCAGCUUGAGCCUCUGGACAACUAAAGAUUUGCCUGGAUGACAUCCUACGGGAAGGAAGAGAAGCCAUCUUGCAAGAGUGGGGACCUCUGGGAUAUUUUUCAACAUAAGAUCACUCAGGAAAACUUUGACCUCCAGAAGAGAGAAUACAAAAGGGUUAACUUACAAGAGGACCUGAAGUUUCUUCAGAAGCUGGUGACAUUGAUGAGUUCCUCUUCCCUUCUUGGAUGCAAGGUUUUACAAAUAUAAUGUAGGGUUUAAACUCGGGA